rnacentral:lncRNA from 1 species
GAGCAUGAUGAACCUUGAGCAACUGGAUAUAUGAAUGUGAUGGCAGGGCUUUUGUGGCACUUAAUUUUCCAAUUCUCCCUGGAAAGCAGACAAGGAUUUCAAUUACCAGUACCUUGACAUGCAUCACAGGAUCUUGUCCUCUGUUGUUUAUUUUUUGCUUUCCAUAGUAUUCACUCUUGUCCAAUGGAAUUUAACUUAUUGAGUUAGCAAUGUAACAUAAUGGUUGAUGUAAGUAAUGAGCUCUAGGAAUUGUCCCCUAGUCGAUGAGUUGUUGCUGGUCAGACUGAUCUACUGAUGAGCGAUGAAAGUACUACUGCUACUACUUUGUGCUCUCUGUCAUUCUCGAGGAAAUAUAGAAAGUUGUGGUGGUCACUCCAUCUUUUAUAUUAAGGAUCACAUGAACGCUGUCAAAAUUGUAUGAAUUACCCGUAGGGGUGUUUCACGAACUCCAAUUCUGAUGUCUACUUUAACACUGCCAAGGAGUAUGGGAUAUUUGACAAGAUUAAAAAUGUGGAAGUGGUAAGUCUCAUAAUUUUGCUUAGUCCAUGUUUCUAGUGUCCAGGAUAGUAUCGAUUUUUAAUCUCACUAUGACUUAGUCGUCGCAUUUCAUAUUGCUCACUUUCAAUGAUAAAAGUAUUAAGGUUUUUUUCCCUCAUCGUUUGUGAAGUUAUCUGGUUGAAUGUAACCAGGAACAAUUUUUUUAAGCCUGUUAGUCUUUUUGCGUGUCUAUUAUACGAACCAUUUUAUCUGUAUAGAGUUUAAUAUCGAACUCUAAUUCACAUCUCCUACUUUGUAAAUCAUCCAAAAACCUUGAAAAAUAGUUGAUGAUGGACAAUUUCCUACUAUCACCUCUUACCUGUAGGUUUUUUUCAUUUGCAUCUAGUGGAGUGGUUAUAGGAAAAUAAUGACUACCGAAAGAGAUUUGGAUUAUUCUAGCAAGCACCCAAUAAAAAUAAGGAGUAAAAGGAGAGAAAUAAUUAGAGAAGCAAGACCAUUAGAUAUUUAGCUACACAAGUCUGAGUAAGAAAAAAAAAAA